GAAGUUCCUAGAACUAUACUAGUGUACGAUAUAGAGAGGAUUUAUCGUAUAGUUCUUAAACAAGUUCGCGACUAAAUGAUAGUCAUUACGGGAUGAUGACGUUUAUCGAGUGAAGGCCGUUGUAUGCCAUAUGGGUUGGUUGUCCUCUUAACCAAGGAGUGUAGUGAUACUGGUAUGGUAUACAGGUGAGAUGUAAGGGUACAUCAUCACUGAACAAGUGACUCACCUGCUGAGCAUUCUGCUGUCAAGAGCUGCAUGC
rnacentral:lncRNA from 1 species